GAUGAACGCUGACAGAAUGCUUAACACAUGCAAGUCUACUUGAACUUCGGUUUGGGUGGCGGACGGGUGAGUAACGCGUACAGAACUUGCCUCACAGUUAGGGACAACAUUUGGAAACGAAUGCUAAUACCUGAUAUUAUGAUUUUAGGGCAUCCUAGGAUUAUGAAAGCUAUAUGUGCUGUGAGAGAGCUUUGCGUCCCAUUAGCUAGUUGGAGAGGUAACGGCUCACCAAGGCGAUGAUGGGUAGCCGGCCUGAGAGGGUGAACGGCCACAAGGGGACUGAGACACGGCCCGUACGCCUACGGGAGGCAGCAGUGGGGAAUAUAGGAAAAUGGACCAAAAGUCUGAUGCAGCAAUUCGGUGUGCACGAUGACGUUUUUCGGAAUGUAAAGUGCUUUCAGUUGGGAAGAAAAAAAUGACGGUACCAACAGAAGAAGUGACGGCUAAAUACGUG
rnacentral:rRNA from 1 species